GGUUCAUGGCUUGCCUAUUGUUUUAUCCCAGUACAAGAGGGGCAACUGGAUUCAGGAUUAAACACAAGCAGUCUUUAAGGUAUAUCUUAUUACAGUUUAGGCCUACCUUAUUAUUUUCUUCCAUCUGGCAAUAUCAUUUUAAGGAAUGAAAUCUGUUUUGUUGCUAGUAUUAUUAUUAACUGUAGGAAAAUACAGCUGUAGAGUACAAGAAUCAGCUACUUUCUGAAGGGCAGCCAAGCUCAUAAGCAAUUUAGAACCUACAGACAAUUAUGACAAAAUUGGAACGCAUGAAUGUGUCACAAACGCCUUGUGGUCACAUGAUAUUUUAGGGCGUGGCUCCGCAUUCGUGACCGGUUCUCUUAUUUCUAUUUCCCGGUAUCCGUUAGUGCUGGAAUUUGCGAUUAAUACUUUUCUCAUGCCGAAACCGGAUUAGAUACAUACCGAUAGUUAAAUGUCAAAAAUUAUUAUAUUUGCAAUGUCAUUAAACAACAACAACAUAAAUAGCUACUACAUUUUCGAAAUAUGAUUUUGUCAUCAGAGAGAGGGAGAGAUAGGCUUUUGACACGAGCGCAUCGACAAUCUCCAGCGAGUGAGCUGCGUAUCAUUGGGAUUACUUCCACGUGCAACUGUCAGACGACAAGUAGGUGAGGCACUUCCGGGAGCUGAGCUAUGCUGGUGCCAUCCUUCGGGACAGCUGGGUCCUGACAGACGUUGGCAUAACCCCUAGCAGUGCCAUCUGCUGCCUGCUGAAGGUACCAGCCGAACACCUAGCUGUUUCUACCCGUGCUUGAAAAUGCAUAUCAAAGUGAGCUGGCUAUUGCUUGAAACAGCUUCAUACUAUCAUUAACAUAAAGUGUUUCAGAUAUAGUGUGGUGAUAUAUAGUAUGGUGAUAUAUAUAGCAUGGUGAUAUAUAGUGUGGUGAUAU